rnacentral:misc_RNA from 1 species
CAGGCGAACGCAUCGACGAUGCGACCGUCCUCACGAAAGUAAAAACCGCCUUAAUCAAUGACCCUAUCAUCUCUGGAAUGCAGAUCGACGUCGAUGUGCAUCGCGGCACGGUUGUGCUGAACGGUGCGGUCGACAGUCCCUCCGU